rnacentral:misc_RNA from 1 species
GAUGAAGAACGUAGCGAAAUGCGAUAAGUAAUGUGAAUUGCAGAAUUCAGUGAAUCAUCGAAUCUUUGAACGCACAUUGCGCCCCCUGGUAUUCCGGGGGGCAUGCCUGUCCGAGCGUCAUUACAACCCUCAAGCUCAGCUUGGUGUUGGGCCCCGCCGCCCCGGCGGGCCCUAAAGUCAGUGGCGGUGCCGUCCGGCUCCGAGCGUAGUAAUUCUUCUCGCUCUGGACGUGCUGCGUGUUCCGGCCGUUAAACACCUUAUUUACCCAAGGUUGACCUCGGAUCAGGUAGGAAGACCCGCUGAACUUAAGCAUAUCAAUAAGCGGAGGA